AUUACUGAGAAAGUAAUAAGGAAGUGCUGACCAGUAGUGACAGAUUUGGGAAUAACUAGGAUGUUUACAGAUUUUAAAGUGACUAGUGUAGACCUUCCCUUUGCCCUACCUUGUGUGGACAACUGAGAUGCCCGAUAAGUAACACUGCUGCUGACAGGGGAGAGAGAUACAAAGACAUCUCAAGUGGGCAUUUAGGAUCCCAAACCCAGUAUACUCCUAACUGAGGAACCUCAGAUGAACUGCUGGAAGAAUCAGAGCUUGAUGAAGAAGAGGAAGAUGAAGACAACUUGACCAAAGACAACAAAAAGUGAAGCUUGUG